rfam:Camelus ferus unplaced genomic scaffold scaffold230, whole genome shotgun sequence.
GGAGGGUACAGCUCAAUGGUAGAGUGGGUGCCUAGCACGCACAAGGUCCUGGGUUCAAUCCCCAGCACCUCUG